CAAUGGGGAGCAGCGUAAGGGGCAGUAAGGCAUGGGUAUCUACCCGGGGAUCGGGCAUAGCCUGUCGAGAGACAGGGUAAUUCCCGAUGAUGUCGCAAGACCAAAGCUCCGGCGUCCCUGGAGGAGCCCAUGUGAUAUUAGCUAGUUGGUGGGGUAACGGCCCACCAAGGCGAAGAUGUCUAGCGGGUGUGAGAGCACGACCCGCGCCACUGGCACUGAGACACUGGCCAGACACCUACGGGUGGCUGCAGUCGAGGAUCUUCGGCAAUGGGCGCAAGCCUGACCGAGCGAGGCCGCGUGGGCGACGAAGGCCUUCGGGUUGUAAAGCCCUGUCGAGGGGGAGAAAAGCCCGCAAGGGUGUGAUCUAUCCCUGGAGGAAGCACGGGCUAAGUUCGUGCCAGCAGCCGCGGUAAGACGAACCGUGCGAACGUUGUUCGGAAUCACUGGGCUUAAAGGGCGCGUAGGCGGGCUAUCAAGUCCGGGGUGAAAUCCUCCAGCUCAACUGGAGAACGGCCUCGGAUACUGAUGGUCUCGAGGGGGAUAGGGGCACGCGGAACUGUGGGUGGAGCGGUGAAAUGCGUUGAUAUC
rnacentral:rRNA from 1 species